UCAGCUAAAUUUUGCAAAUCAGUCGCAUAGGAGUUAUUGUUGAGAAGUUGCUAGCAGCGAUCGACAAGCCACGGCUGAAGACGUAGAGCUUAGUAGGCGAUUAAAUACCCUACAGUAAUGGAGUCCGUAGCCCAACUAGUUAGACGUUUGGAAAAGCAGGGAAGAAGUCUUUAGAUAAGUCUACCCUGACCACGGAUAACAAGUUUUGGCAAAGACCCAUCCACUUUCAGCAAUAGUAUGCGGCAGAGCUAGCCAUCAAACGCUUGGAAAGACAGAACAAUCUCUUUAUAAAGAGUUUGCCUGGCCACGGGUGAUGGAAAACCAGCAUACCUGUCCGCAGAAGCAAGAGUGCGAAGGAGAGUAAAGAAGACGAAACUGAUUAGCUUCGAUUUACUCGCACUUUAGCUUGCAGUCGUUGUUUUUGUCUUGCGGAUCGGCGCGCCAAAGCAACAAAACGUUUGGUUGUUGCGAGGGCUGAUUAGCACGGCACAAGUAGCGGGGAACUAAGCUAUGCUUGAAGGCAAAUAAAUGUUUUUGUAUUUCUUUAUA